GUUGAAACACCAGUUCUCAUACGAUCACCAAAGUUAAGCAACAUUGAACCUAGUCAUUACCUAGGUGGUGACUGCUUGGGAAUACCAAGUGCUGUAAG